rnacentral:rRNA from 1 species
ACGGAGGGGGCUAGCGUUGUUCGGAAUUACUGGGCGUAAAGAGCACGUAGGCGGUAGAUCAAGUUAGGCGUGAAAGCCCUAGGCUCAACCUAGGAACUGCGUUUAAUACUGGUCAACUAGAGGCCGGGAGAGGGUGGUGGAAUUCCCAGUGUAGAGGUGAAAUUCGUAGAUAUUGGGAGGAACACCAGUGGCGAAGGCGGCCACCUGGACCGGUUCUGACGCUGAGGUGCGAAAGCGUGGGGAGCAAACAGG